rnacentral:rRNA from 1 species
GACGAACGCUGGCGGCGUGCUUAACACAUGCCAGUCGAACGGAAAGGCCCUGCUUUUGUGGGGUGCUCGAGUGGCGAACGGGUGAGUAACACGUGAGUAACCUGCUCUUGACUUUGGGAUAACUUCAGGAAACUGGGGCUAAUACCGGAUAGGAGCUCCUGCUGCAUGGUGGGGGUUGGAAAGUUUCGGCGGGUGGGGAUGGACUCGCGGCUUAUCAGCUUGUUGGUGGGGUAGUGGCUUACCAAGGCUUUGACGGGUAGCCGGCCUGAGAGGGUGACCGGCGACAUUGGGACUGAGAUACGGACCAGACUCCUACGGGAGGCAGCAGUGGGGAAUAUUGCACAAUGGGCGGAAGCCUGAUGCAGCAACGCCGCGUGCGGGAUGACGGCCUUCGGGUUGUAAACCGCUUUCGCCUGUGACGAAGCGUGAGUGACGGUAAUGGGUAAAGAAGCACCGGCUAACUACGUG